GGGUCAGUAGGUUGGUCGUGCCACCGGUACGUACUGGUCUCACUGAUUCCUCCUUCCUGAAGAACCGUAAUGCCAUUAAUUUGGUGUUGCGGGGAAACAGGACUGUUACUUUGAAAAAAUUAGAGUGUUUAAAGCAAGCUAACGCUUUAAUACAUUAGCAUGGAAUAAUGAAAUAGGACGAUCGACCCUAUUUUGUUGGUUUCUAGGAUUGGCGUA
rnacentral:rRNA from 1 species